CGUCAAGGAAAGUCGUUAUUUCGGUUGGCCACGCCUUCGAGAAGACCCAACAAUGAAUGACGUCUUAAAGUGAUUGCUUCUGCUUUGAUGAGAGGCUUGACGGAGUUUUUUUUUUUUUCCUCUUGUCUUGAAGUUUAAUCUCGAUCCAGCUGUAAACUAUCAUCCGUGUUUCACACGCUGGUGAUUCGUAAACGUGUGUGGUGUUUUAUUUACGUGACGGUGGCAAAGCCGAGAGGAACGCUCGCUCUCUCUUGGUUGUUUUGCUUCUGUUCGAAUCCCGACCCGGUUUUAAGAAGCCAGUACAAUGGCUUCGUCAUUUUUCCAAAGGAUGUUUUCCUUUUUUGGAAGUAAUACGAAGCCUGGUCCCACGUCAAAAAAGGAAAAUGGUGGACAACCAACAGACAAUUCCUGCAGACAGGUCAAAAACAACCUGAAAACAUCCCAGCAGUCCUUUAAGAAGACGAGUGCUGCGCCAAAGAGCAGUGGACAUCCCAAAGACAAUUCUUGGAGACAGAUCAAAAGCAACCUGAAAACGGCCCAGCAGUCCUCAAAGAAUACUCGUGCUGUGCCAAAGAGCAGUGGACAACCAACAGACUCUUCCUGCAGACAGGUCAAUAGCAACCCGAAAACAUCCCAGCAGUCCUCAAAGAAGAUGAGUGCUGCGCCAAAGAGCAGUAAGUGGCUAUUCUGGAUGAUUGUUAAAAUUUCAUUUUUCACUGAAUGAGAUCACCUCACGUUCCACUGAAGUUGACGGUAAUUUGUAAUUUCUUCAGGAUGCUGGUAACAACUCACCUUCAAUUUGUGAGACAUCAUGGAAUCUUUACUGUCGCGUGUGUGUGUGUGUGUGUGUGUGUGUGUGUGUGUGUGUGUGUGUGUGUGUGUGUGUGUGUGUGUGUGUCCUCCAUUACUCUAAAACCAUGAAAUCUAUCAGUGUGAAACUUUCAUGCACACUAAAGGAACUCCAAGGAGGUACAUUUGUGAAACUUGAGUGUCUGAGUACAUUUAAACUCCCAUUUUGAAGAUAAUUAACGGCUUUAUUUCAUUAUAUCCUUUAUCCGGUGCAUUCUCGGCCACCUCGCUCUGUGGGGACUUAAGGCAUACCCUGCGUUACUUGCUCGGAUCUGAAGCCGCCAUUAUUUUGGCCUGCUCAACCAUUCCUCGACUUGGAACGUGCCGCCAUAAUUUCUUUUCGAUGCAUUUUUUUUCCACUUUCCUCACUCAUAUUAUCGAAUUCCUGAUCAUCAUACCUCUGAAUCGCUGGGUACAUUGUAAUGAUUAUAAAUGCCCGAGGGACGCCAGCAUUCAUGGCUUUAUUUCAUUUGCGCAUGUGCCAUAACUUCGAUAAUCUCUUCAACUAAGAUGAAUUACAAGAUAUCAUCUCCAUAUUUGAACUUUGCAGCAGCUUAAACUGAUAACAACGUGUUAAUUUGUCAAUUUCUGACAUUGCUUGGGCGUCUCCGAGAGGUGUUUAUGAUGACGGAUCAUUGCUUG
rnacentral:lncRNA from 1 species